rnacentral:misc_RNA from 1 species
GUGAAAAGCAGAACUGAAAAACAGUGCCACGAACUACACAGCGCACACAGCAAGCGAUCUGAUUGGAUAUAAACCUUCUUUCCAACUGUUGGACGGUCCCUCACCUGGCGCCUGAUCGGAUAUCUGAUUGGUGAGUUUGGCUCGCAUCAUUUUAGCAAGAUAAAGGACAUUUCGCUUGAUCCACUUAAUAAAUCGUGCUAUUCGAUCGAUCGCCUCCGCGAUCUUGUUCGUAUCGUUGUCCGCGGUCGGCGCCGAUAGAUUCGACGAACCGAAGUUGCUCAGCAACAAAGCCAAGAAGAGAUUCAGCACCUGUUCGUUUGCACAUCAAACAAUUUUCAUUUCGUCUCGGGCUCGCGUGUUGUUUCUAUCUUUAGAUGAUAAGGAGGACCAUUGGUUUAGUUGAUUACCGAUGACAACAGUAGCCAGAAAGAAUGGUAUGCAAGAGACGUCGCCCACAAGCAUACAAUCCCACAUAGACUCGAUCCACUCUCCACAGAGUACGCGAA